rnacentral:rRNA from 1 species
AAAAACACAGGGAUUGCCCUAGUAACGGCGAGUGAAGCGGCAACAGCUCAAAUUUGAAAUCUGGCGCUUUCAGCGUCCGAGUUGUAAUUUGCAGAGGGCGCUUUGGCGUUAGCAGCGGUCCAAGUUCCUUGGAACAGGUCGUCACAGAGGGUGAGAAUCCCGUACGUGGCCGCAUGUCUCCGCCGUGUAAAGCCCCUUCGACGAGUCGAGUUGUUUGGGAAUGCAGCUCUAAAUGGGAGGUAAAUUUCUUCUAAAGCUAAAUACUGGCCAGAGACCGAUAGCGCACAAGUAGAGUGAUCGAAAGAUGAAAAGCACUUUGGAAAGAGAGUCAAACAGCACGUGAAAUUGUUGAAAGGGAAGCGCUUGCAGCCAGACUUGCCUGCCGUUGCUCAUCCGGGCUUUUGCCCGGUGCAUUCUUCGGUAGGCAGGCCAGCAUCAGUUUGGGCGGUGGGAUAAAGGUCUCUGUCACGUACCUCCUUUCGGGGAGGCCUUAUAGGGGAGACGCCAUGCCACCAGCCUGGACUGAGGUCCGCGCAUCUGCUAGGAUGCUGGCGUAAUGGCUGUAAGCGGCCCGUCUUGAAACACGGACCAAGGAGUCUAACAUCUAUGCGAGUGUUUGGGUGUCAAGCCCAAGCGCGUAAUGAAAGUGAACGGAGGUGGGACCCCGCAAGGGUGCACCAUCGACCGAUCCUGAUGUCUUCGGAUGGAUUUGAGUAAGAGCAUGGCUGUUGGGACCCGAAAGAUGGUGAACUAUGCUUGAAUAGGGUGAAGCCAGAGGAAACUCUGGUGGAGGCUCGCAGCGGUUCUGACGUGCAAAUCGAUCGUCAAAUUUGGGCAUAGGGGCGAAAGACUAAUCGAACUAUCUAGUAGCUGGUUCCUGCC